rnacentral:rRNA from 1 species
UACGUAGGGUGCAAGCGUUAAUCGGAAUUACUGGGCGUAAAGCGUGCGCAGGCGGUUAUGCAAGACAGAUGUGAAAUCCCCGGGCUUAACCUGGGAACCGCAUUUGUGACUGCAUAGCUGGAGUACGGCAGAGGGGGAUGGAAUUCCGCGUGUAGCAGUGAAAUGCGUAGAUAUGCGGAGGAACACCGAUGGCGAAGGCAGCCCCCUGGGAUGUGACUGACGCUCAUGUACGAAAGCGUGGGGAGCAAACAGG